rnacentral:lncRNA from 1 species
AUAAAACAAAUGAAUGUGGAUUUGAUAUGAAAUAGGCAGGAGCAUUGCUAUUCUGCAAUCUGAAUUUGGGGCCUCAGUUAUGCUGCUGCUGAGGGACCACAUGGGAAACUUUUUGCUCUUGGAAAACUACAAGAUUUUUUUUUUCUCCCCCUGUUUUGGAUGACUUUGAAGAGAGCAUAAUGUCUCUGCACACAUUUUCAUGAGCUUUGCUUAUCUGGAAGGGCACUUCUCUAGUCCUGGAUAAACACAAUAGUUCUAGGCAAGAAAGGAGGUGGAGAUCUCAUGUGAAAAAUCAUGUAGGAAUUUAUGUUUCUGACUUUUAAAUACAGGUGAUUCUUCCAUAUAUCCUGCAUAUAUAUCUCUCCCUUCUUCCCUUCUUUCCUAGUCUUCAACGAAAAAACCCCAGCUGGAUUUCAUAGUAGUUGUAGGGAAUUCAAAGUUCUGCCUUGUAGAUGUUUUAAUGCAAACUUUCAAUAUGCUUCACAUUUUAUCUUUUAGUCCAAAGUCUGGCACAAGGUAUGGAAAGUGAUUUCAAAAAUGCUUGAGGAAAAUGAAAGGUUCAGAAGUCGACUGAUGACCUGCAGCCGGGUUGAUGGAGAAGGCUCUGACAGGAUCCAGAGGUCACAGAAUGGGGCAUACCUGGACAGGGUAUGUAGACAGUCCAUUAAAGGCCAAAAAACCUUAAAAUAAGCAAAUUAAUAAUAUUAAAAACAUGCACUGAUCUUGUUUCAUUUUAUUAUAAUAUGUGCCAGUUAUAUUCUAAAGUAUUACUGAUAUUGAGCUCAAAUUUUUUCAAGAUUUCAGUGAUUUGGGGACCAGAGCUGCUCCAUCCUCACAGGGAGGGCUCUGUGCUUUGCCAAGGCAAAGGGAGGUGGAUUUUGCCUUCUGCUUGAGCUAAAUCCUUUCCUGAUGGUCUAAAUUAUAAUCUGGAUAAUCUGAACAGUCUUUAUUUGUCCCACUUGAUAUAGAGACUUUUUUCUUUAUGUUGAUAGGAAUGAACUAAUUCAAUUUUAUCACUUUUUUUUCUCUAGGAUGAGUCCAUCUUUGGCUGGGUUUAGCAAGAAAAGAAAGGAAGAUUCAGCCCCAAAGGAAAUAAAAACAGAGUGAAAGCUUUUAUUUUGAUCUAG